rnacentral:lncRNA from 1 species
UUGCAACCCAGCCUGGGUGACAGAGUGAGACCCUGUCUCUAAUAACAAAUAUAUAUAUCUUUGAAUUGUAAUAAGUAUAGGUUGUUUUAGUCUGUGAUAAUAACAACCUUGACUGGAUUCCCCCAGAAGCUGAUCCAGGGCUAGCAUUUCACUUGGGAGGUGACAGCAGGAAAGAGCAGGAGGGGAGUGGGGAGGCCAGUAAAGGUGUGCUAUGGGGCACUUCCCCGAGGGAGACUGGAGCAGCUCCCUGGGACGAGGUGACCCAGACCUUCUUCCCUGUGAGGUCUGAGCCCUUGGUUAUCAUUCCUUGUCAGGCCAGGGUUGCUGCAUUGCCAGUUUACU